UGCUUUUCUGGUUAGUGGCGAACGGGUGAGUACACGUGAGUACCUGCCCUUCACUCUGGGAUAACUCCGGGAAACCGGGGCUAAUACUGGAUAUGACCUGCUCGCGCAUGCGAAGUGGGUGGAAAGAUUUAUUGGUGGGGGAUGGACUCGCGGCCUAUCAGCUUGUUGGUGAGGUAAUGGCUCACCAAGGCGACGACGGGUAGCCGGCCUGAGAGGGCGAUCGGCCACACUGGGACUGAGACACGGCCCAGACUCCUACGGGAGGCAGCAGUGGGGAAUAUUGCACAAUGGGCGCAAGCCUGAUGCAGCGACGCCGCGUGAGGGAUUAAGG
rnacentral:rRNA from 1 species